UACGGGGGGGGUAAGCGUUGUUCGGAAUUACUGGGCGUAAAGGGCUCGUAGGCGGCCAACUAAGUCAGACGUGAAAUCCCUCGGCUUAACCUGGGAACUGCGUCUGAUACUGGACGGCUUGAGUAUGGGAGAGGGAUGUAGAAUUCCAGGUGUAGCGGUGAAAUGCGUAGAUAUCUGGAGGAAUACCGGUGGCGAAGGCGGCAUCCUGGACCAUUACUGACGCUGAUGCGCGAAAGCUAGGGGAGCAAACGGG
rnacentral:rRNA from 1 species